rnacentral:lncRNA from 1 species
GAUUUUGGGGCCAUUUUCAUCCCAAUUUUGGGGCCAUUUUCAUCCCAAUUUUGGGGCCAUUUUCAUCCCAAUUUUGGGGCCAUUUUCAAUGGGAUUUUGGGGCGAUUUUCCAUGGGAUUUUGGGGCCAAUCUCAACGAUUUUGGGGCCAUUUUCAUCCCAAUUUUGGGGCCAUUUUCAAUGGGAUUUGGGGCCAUUUUCAAUGGGAUUUUGGGGCCAAUCUCAGCGAUUUUGGGGGCCAUUUUCAAAGGGAUUUUGGGGCCAUUUUCAAAGGGAUUUUGGGGCCAAUCUCAGCGAUUUGGGGGCCACUUUCAACCCAAAUUUGGUGCCAUUUUCAAAGGGAUUUUGGGGCCAAUCUCAGCGAUUUUGGGGCCAUUUUCAUCCCAAUUUUGGGGCCAUUUUCAUCCCAAUUUUGGGGCCAUUUUCAAUGGGAUUUUGGGUCCAAUCUCAGCUAUUUGGGGGCCAUUUUCAAAGGGAUUUUGGGACCAUUUACAAUGGGAUUUUAGGGCCAUUUUCAACCCAAUUUUGGUGCCAUUUUCAAUGGGAUUUUGGGGCCAUUUUCAAUGGGAUUUUGGGUCCAUUCUGAGUAGAUUUUGGGCCAUUUUCACCAUGAUUUUGGGGCCAUUUUCAGUGGGAUUUUGGGUCCAAUCUCAGCGAUUUCAGGGCCAUUUUCAACCCGAUUUUGGUGCUAUUUUCAAUGGGAUUUUGGCCAUUUUUGCCACAAUUUGGGGCCAAUUGUGAGCGGACCGGUGCCCCUCACCGCAGGGCGCGGCUCAGCUUGUCGUAGUUCAUGUGGGGCUUGCACUUGCGCGCGCCCCACAGCCGCGCCACCUCGUCGGGGUCCUUGAUGACGAACUCGCCGUAGUCGCCCUGCCAGGCGAUGACGUGCCGGUAGCGCUCCUGGCGCAGCAGCUCCAGGAUGAAGUGCCACAGCUGGAUCUGCCGCGAGCCGGGGCUCGACUCCGCCUUGUACGCCCACUCCGGGAACGCCAGCCCUAUGGGGAGGGCAGAUGUGGGGCUG